UAUAUUAAUUAGUCUUGAGACACGUGGGGAAAAAAAGUCUAAAGUAUAAAACAGCUGUGAUUAGAAUUUAAAAAGCUGCAAUUCGGAGUUAUUUUUAUUACCAAUAACUCAUGAAAAGCUAGAUUUUUCUAAACUUUACAGUGCUACUAUCUCCUGCAAAGCUUUUAAAACAACUUCAUCAAUAAAUUGCUUUGCUUAUUUUGAGAAAAUUUAAUUAGUAUCGAAUUAGACAUGUUACUUUAUGUACAACUAUGGUUCAAAGGAAGAAAUUUUUUACUUCUCUGUUCAAAUUUGAGAUUUAGACACUUAAAAAAUAUUUUCUACAUAAAUAUUUGUGUGAAGUAGCAAAGGUUUAGCGUUUUAUCAGCUGAAUUUGAUGAAAUAAUUUUCUCUGGAUGGAAGCACUUAGUGCUGUCUGCCCAACAGGAGACAAAUGAUCAGUGAGUUCAGACUAUUUGGUGUGAUGGAGAGAAAAAUGAGCUCAGCUGAGGAAUCCAGUUUGCUGUUUCCAGAUAAAUACAAACCGGCAGCUGCACACGCCUUUGUUCGUGUUUACAAUACACAGAUAAUCCUGUUGGGUCUCCAUUCACCUCGCCCGGUUUAUGUACUAUAAUGACCAGCUCGCUGUGCGUAAUCCUGUUUAUUACACAUCUAAAUUACCGAAAUGAGCUGCUGUACUUCCCUUUAUUAGCUACGCCAGCCGUUACUGUAGCUUUCUCUUUCACCGGUUUAUAAUGUAACCUGGAGAUCAGACCAGAAUAUUCAAUUGGAUAAUAACUACUGUAGUGCUUCACCUUCAUCACCACUGCUCCUCCUCUCCCGCAGUUCUGCAGUGCUUUGCAUGUUUAUUACGGAGAUGCUGCUCGAGGCUUCAGCUGAGGAGAGCAGCGGCUCUGUCUGAACAGUUUCUAUGGGAUGAUCAAACAGUCUUUAGUGUCUGCGUGGGGCUGUCAGGAAGUGUUUCCUGUUGAGGAUUGCUUGUCUUUACAUUCCUGAUUAGAAGCAGGUGAAAACGGCUCUAGUUUGUUGUCCUGAAGUAACGUUCUUGGGUUUCAGCUCACCCUCUUGAAGCUAAGGUCGGAAUGAAUGUCAAUGAAAGCCAGUCUGGCAUCUUUAUAAGCAAAGCUUUCUCCGGAGCGUCUGGAGAGACUUGCAGUCUUCUUGCCCUUUUGUUCUCUCAUUUUCAGCUCCGCUGUGCUCCAAAAGACAGCGGAGCAGCUCAGUACGGAGAAAUUGUCAUAUUGAGUAAAAUUCAUGUCACUGCGAAAACAACCAAAGGCAAACAAUGAUAAUUUAAUCACUUACAGCCAGAUACAAACUGAAGAUUGAUAGUGUGAGCAGGGGUGAGGACGACAUUCACAAGGUUGUUUAUUGAUGGGUUAUGGAGUCAGACGGAAAUGCAAUGUUGUUAGAUCAGAACGGUAAGGAGACUUAACUUUUGUUACAAAAUUGGAAAUACUUAAAGCACUCACAAAACUCUGAGCUAAAUCCUGGUUUGAUUGGAAGGUGCCAAUUAAGUGAUUAUCAGUGAGAGCAGCUCUAAAAACACUAGUGUGAUUGGAGGCUUUCUGGUUGUCAAGAUGGAGGGACAUCAACAAUGGUGCCCAUUACAAAUAGGCCUGUUGUGGUAACAAAUUUUGCUGGGUGAUUGUCCCAGAAAUGUUUGUGAUCAGCAAUAAUAUUUUAUUAAAACAAUUUUCAAGUAACAUAAUAGUAAUGGAAAUAUAUUGCAACUUUGCCCUCUCAAAACUUUUAAUUUCUAAGGAACAUGUAACAGGAACUGGUUUAGGGACAUUUUAAGUAUAAAAAAUAAAUAAAACGACAUACAAGAUGGAUACUUAUAUUACCAGACUAUACUGUUUAGUCAUUUUAUGGUAUGAUAUAUUCCAGAAAGCUGUCCUGAUGUAAGCCGAUGCUUGGAGAAAUACUAGAAAGGAAAAAAACCUUAAACUUUGAUCUUUAAAGAAUAUGGCAGUGUGAUUUAGCACAUCAUGAAAUGGAAAACACUUUCCACCAUCUGUAGAGCAUGAUGGAGGAAUGAUGGUUUGAGCAAUGUCAUUGAGUAAUUAGCAAUUAGUAAUUGAGCAAUUAGUCAUUGAGUAAACCAUGACUAAAGUAUUUUGAGAAAUGAGUCAACAGGAUAAUGAUCCCAACUACAACAAAUCUACAGCAGAUUGACUGAAAAAAAUAGAUUAGACCUUAAGCUUUGUUAGGAAGCAGUGGUUCUACAGACCUCCUCUAAAUGUUGAACUUGAUCCAACAUGCAGUGACAUGCUGCAGCCUGCAAGUCAGCUGAUGAUGUGGCAGCAGGGAAGCAUGCAGGGUUGUAGUGAAAAUCAACCAAAAAGUAUCAGAAUGAGGUGAAAUGAAAUCAUUUAUUGCUGCUGAUUGCAGAUUCACUGGAACCUGAAUCAUGACUGAAGCUUCAAAUACAAGUGGACAAACAAAGCUCUGCAUAUAUUUUAAAAUUUCAUUCACACAAUAAAUAUGAAUAGUUAAUGAGUGUAAACGUGUAUCUUUCCCCUUUGGCGAUGGGAUGAAUGACUCCGUCUAAAACGUGCACAAUCCUCUAUAGGCUCGGUUCUGGUCUGCAGGUGAACUAAAUUCAACCAGUACUUCUGGGGCCAUUUACUGUUAAAGACUUGUAAAGACCUGAAACAAAAGCUGCAAGUAAAUGUAAUCAUUAUAUAGUAAUUUAUUAAUUUUGGCGGAUGUUUUUCUUUUUUUCUGAAGGGCAAUGUACAGCUUUUACCAGAGCCAUAGUACAAUACUUUAUAAUUAUACAACAUUUACAUGUGCAUUUGGGUUUUAUACAUCAAACGACGGGUGAGCCGUGAAAAGAGGAACACGGAGUGAACGUGGUUCAACACAGGCACAGGAGACAAAGCAAAAUAACUGAUUAGCCAAUAGAAAACUAUAAAUACAGAGUGUGGUAACAGCUCAUGGACUGACCAAAUAUCAUCAAAGCAAAGGCUUCAAAAAAUAGUCAUUCGCCUCAAUAACCAAACAGAACAGACUCGUUAACGAUGGGAG